UGUUAAGGGAUGGGAAUUCAAUCCACAGUGUUCCGCUUACUGGGCAGAUACCAUGUCCACUAGGCUACCCUGGAC
rnacentral:tRNA from 1 species